GAUGUGAUCCUAAAAUUCUAUCCCUUAACAAGAAGAAUUAUUUCGGUCAUGGAAUAAAAAGAACCAAAGUUGAAGAUUAUUAUCCAAGCAUGUGAUAGUGGAAAAUAAAGAGCUCAUCCACUAAGCAUAUGAAAAUGAAGAGCUCAUCCACUAAGCAUAUGAAAAGAGCACCACUAUCUCUUCUUUUAUUUUGCAUUUUUCUUGUAAUAAUUCAGCUCCACUAUCAUGAUAGCUAGUGGCUGAAAUCCUUUUGUUUUCUUAGGAGUUACUUUUGCUUAUCAGCCUUUCCUAUAUAAAGGAGGCAUGUAACUCUUGCCAAAUAAAUGAAUUUUGUUAAGUUUUACACAUUGUGUAAUUGAGAGCAUUUGCUCUUAGGUUCUGGAUUGGACCAAAAUUGAUCUUAUCAAGGAAUCC
rnacentral:lncRNA from 1 species